CCUUCGAUAGCUCAGUUGGUAGAGCGGUGGACUGUAGAAGAGGAGAACAUAAAACGAGAAAUCCAUAGGUCGCUGGUUCAAAUCCGGCUCGAAGGA
rnacentral:tRNA from 1 species